CAACUCAAGCUCAUUUGCAUCACGAAUAACUCUUUCGCCUUUUACUAAAUAUUUCCGUGCAAAUAGGCAAUUUGAUGAGUCUAUAACAAUUUUUUCAAUGGCCGAACGAAAGCUCGGUCU